rnacentral:lncRNA from 10 species
GCGCGGGCUCGUGUCACCGCGGCGGAGCCGCCGGGACCAAGGGACACAGAGUAGGACAACUGCCGAGGAAGGGGGACAUUGAGGCAGCUUGCAGAAACACACAUGGAGAAACAGAACCAAAGAGCAGGGUAACCAGCAAACCAGGCAGUGGAGGCAGGGAUGGGUACCCAUCCCGAGAUCUUGGGUGAUACCAAAGGCGGCACAUCCGGAAGGCUGGUUAUACCUAGCGUGGAGGGGAGAGGGAGAACUGUUUCUUCCGUUCAAUAAAGCAAACCCUUCAACAAGAGGUUCUUAACCUUUUUUAGUCACUGUUUCCUUUGAGAUUGUGUUCAAAGCUCAAGGGCCCUUUUUCCCAGAAAAUAUGUAUGGGACAUAUAAAAUUUAGUAUAGAUUUAUUGGAGUUCUUAGACGCGCUUUGCUGCUCUCAGAAAAUUAGUGGUAACAGUGAUUAAAGCAACUACCCUAUUUGGGUUUCUUCCUUCCCUGCCACCCCUUUCUUUAAAAUCAGGCAUUAAAAUCUGAAGAUGUUUUGGAUUUUUUUUUAUUUUUUAUUUUUUGAGACAGAGUCUCAUUCUGUCGCCCAGGAUGGAGUGCAGUGGUGCGAUCUCAGCUUACUGCAACCUCCACCUCCCGGGUUCAAGCGAUUUUCCUGCCUCAGCCUCCCAAGUAGCUAGGAUUACAGGCAUGGGCCACCACGCCCAGCUAAUUUUUUGUAUUUUAGUAGAGAUGGGGUUUCGCCAUGUUGGCCAGGCUGGUUUCAAACUCCUGACCUCAAGUGAUCAGCCCGCCUAGGCCUCCCAAAGUGCUGGGAUUACAGGCGUGAACCACCACGUCCGGCUGUUUUGGAUGUUUUUAAAGAAACAAAGCAUGCAAUUUUGUUCCCCAGGCUGGGAUCCAUUCUUUCUUUAUGUAAUGCCUUUUAAAAUGUUAUUCUCAAAGCCGUAAGGCUAAGUUCUACACUGACUGAGGAACUUCCCGGAUCGUUCAUGCUUUGGAGCAUAUAAUGAGAUUUUAUUAUGCUUAAACUAUGACGAACCCAGUGAAGGUGUCAUCCCAAGAAGUAAAUCCCUGGAGAAGGUAUUAACAACUUAGCAUUUUCAGUUCAAGUGGGAAUGCAAAUUCCAUUUACUGAAGAGAAUAUUUUUGAUAUAGUUAAGAAUAAAAUAUUUGAGUAAGAAUAUUUUUAAAUAGUAGUCAUUUCUCCUUGACCCUUUUUAACCUGGCUUUCCAAAGUUGGUCUAUGAGUGAGUUGGCCUGCAGAGGACACAGGCUACGCUUGUCUUAUUAGCUUUUAGAGAAAAUAAAUGUCUGUUUACUCUGCAUUUUGUGCAAAUCACUAUGCUCUUAUC